AAGUGGUGACUCUGUUACAGCGGUGUUCUUUGCCUUUAUUUUUAGGAAGUCCAGGCAGAUAGCAGCAGUCAAGGCCCAUUGUGCCAGGGAAUCCACUGGGAGUAUGCCAAGCCCCUGUCACCAGCUGGCUGAUGGACUGGGUUUCCUGCACUUAUGAGCCCUCUGGAAGUAUUACAGGAUCCUGUGAUGAAGCCUACUGAUUUUGCAUUUCAAGGUCCCAUCCUGGUAGCCCAGAGCAGUGGCCAAGGAGUUGUGGUGUACCCUGAGAUGAUGCUGUCGGCCUCCAAGCACGCCUGCGGUGUGUGGCCCGACCAUUCUGAGGAGAAUGGUGAGUAGCAGAAUUGUCAGGUUUUGGCCAUUGUGCUGUUACGGUUGUG